rnacentral:lncRNA from 1 species
UUUUUUUUUGGAGAGAGUGAGCUCCAGAUCUGAAAGUUUGAGAGAAGUUGUUUUCUAGAGCCUAAUUUUCAGAGUUUAAAAUCUGAGAGCAAACGUUUGAAAGAUCAAAUUAUGAUAGUAAAAAUCUUGCCAAUUUAAGUGAGCUAAUAGCCAAUAAUCCAGCAAAUGUGAGAGGAAAACUACUGUUUCAUUAGUUUUCACUAAUUUCACCUGUCUCCAACUUCUGAAAAUUGCUUAGUUUAACACAAGUAGGAAAUAGUUUAGAUCUGUUCUUCAAGAGCUUUGGUGCAAACUUGUUUGAGCUGUUUGAUUGUUCACCCUCUUGGAAACAUGGAUCAGUCCUGGGUCAAAGUUUUUUAGUUAGCUGAUUACUGCUGACUCACGUGUGUUGUCUCACUCCUGAUUAUUUCCUUUGUCUAAUUUUCAGGUACUCCUUGAUUCUCUAGGAACUGAUGCACAAACAUACAAGCUAUAAUUGUCUGAAGUUUUCUAUAGAAGGAUGACUAAUUUCCCUUACAUCUUCAAUGUCAAAUUCUAUUUGAAAUGCCUGAGUUUAGUAGUUCGGUAUAAUAGUAUUUAGCCUAUUCUAUUCAUUUUAGUACAACAGUUAUAUUCUGGAAGCUAUCAUGUCCUUCAAUUUGUUUGAAACUGGUAGAUUCAUUAGCUUACUAGAACAUUUAGGGACUGUGUAUUUGUACUAUUAUUUAAGAAUGUUC